rnacentral:rRNA from 1 species
AUAACUGUGGUAAUUCUAGAGCUAAUAUUUUAAAGAAUGCCGUGACUCACGAAGCGGCGGAUUUAUUAGAUCAAAACUAAUCUGUCGCAAGGCGGAUAUUUGAUGACUCUGGAUAACUUUACUGAUCGUACAAUUUUGAAUUGACGACAUAUCUCUUGAAAUGGCUGACCUAUCAACUUUAGAUGGUAAGAUCAAAGCUUACCAUGGUUGUAACGGGUAACGGGGAAUCAGUGUUCGAUUCCGGAGAGGGAGCCUGAGAAACGGCUACCACAUCCACGGAAGGCAGCAGGCGCGAAAAUUACCCAAUACCGGUUCGGUGAGGUAGUGACAAUAAAUAACAAUAUGGACCCUUAGUGGUUUCAUAAUUGCAAUGAGAGAAAUUUAAAUACUUUUACAAGUAUCAAUUGGAGGGCAAGUCUGGUGCCAGCAGCCGCGGUAAUUCCAGCUCCAAAAGCGUAUAUUAAAGUUGUUGCAGUUAAAAAGCUCGUAGUUGAAAUUGGGGAAACGAUUUAACUAACCGUCUAUGAUGGAUUGUUUUAUCUUCCUUCGUCGUCGUGUAUAUUGUAAAGUUACUUAAUUGAGAUUUUGCAGUAACCGACAAGUUUACUUUGAAAAAAUUAGAGUGCUUAAAGCAGGCUUACGCUUGUAUAUUGUUGCAUGGAAUAAUGAAAUAAGACUUUGGUUUUAUUUUGUUGGUUUUCGAAACUAAAGUAAUGAUUAAAAGAGACUGCCGGGGGCAUAUGUAUGCUGGUGCUAGAGGUGAAAUUCUUAGACCAUCAGCAGACAAUCUACU